UGCAGCGACGCCGCGUGAGGGAUGACGGCCUUCGGGUUGUAAACCUCUUUCAGCAGGGAAGAAGCGAAAGUGACGGUACCUGCAGAAGAAGCGCCGGCUAACUACGUGCCAGCAGCCGCGGUAAUACGUAGGGCGCAAGCGUUGUCCGGAAUUAUUGGGCGUAAAGAGCUCGUAGGCGGCUUGUCACGUCGAUUGUGAAAGCCCGAGGCUUAACCUCGGGUCUGCAGUCGAUACGGGCUAGCUAGAGUGUGGUAGGGGAGAUCGGAAUUCCUGGUGUAGCGGUGAAAUGCGCAGAUAUCAGGAGGAACACCGGUGGCGAAGGCGGAUCUCUGGGCCAUUACUGACGCUGAGGAGCGAAAGCGUGGGGAGCGAACAGGAUUAGAUACCCUGGUAGUCCACGCCGUAAACGGUGGGAACUAGGUGUUGGCGACAUUCCACGUCGUCGGUGCCGCAGCUAACGCAUUAAGUUCCCCGCCUGGGGAGUACGGCCGCAAGGCUAAAACUCAAAGGAAUUGACGGGGGCCCGCACAAGCGGCGGAGCAUGUGGCUUAAUUCGACGCAACGCGAAGAACCUUACCAAGGCUUGACAUACACCGGAAAGCAUUAGAGAUAGUGCCCCCCUUGUGGU
rnacentral:rRNA from 1 species